GAAAUCGAGUGAAGAUGAAUUUUAUAAUUUUCUCAAAGUUCACAAAAUUCAUAUUGCCAUUGUGACAGAAACUUUUCUUAAACCAAAUGUAAAAUUGAAAAGUAAUCCACAUUAUGUGGUUCAUCGAUUUGACAGGUUUACUGGAAUUGGUGGUGGAGUUGCCAUUUUUGUCCAACGGCAAAUUAAACAUCGAAUUUUACCUUCUUUCAAUACUAAAGUUAUUGAAAGCUUGGGAAUCGAAGUUGAAACCAUUCAUGGAAUUUAUUUCAUCGCUGGAGCAUAUUUGCCAUUCCAAUGCACCGGCGAACAAUUAAAUUUCUUUAAAGGCGAUUUGCAAAAACUUACAAGAUAUCGAUCGAAAUUUUUCGUAAUAGGGGACUUAAAUGCUAAGCAUGUCCAGUGGAAUUGUAGGCAAAAUAACAGUAAUGGUAAAAUACUUCAUAAUCAACUCUCAGCUGGUUACUUUACAGUUCUUCAUCCCAGUAAUCCUACUUGUUUCUCUUCCGUGAAAAACCCGUCUACAAUUGAUCUGGUUCUAACAGAUCAAAGUCACAUUUGUAGUGAACCGAUUACUCAUGCUGAUUGUCACAACCCGGUGGGUUAUGGCGCACCUUAUUUCAACCGUCUUGAUUCGUGCGAAACCUAAUUUCAACCCUGUUCCCCAAUGAACUGUCAUCUGUCGUUAGUGGAAGGAGAAUAGCGUGAGUAAGCAGUGAGUACACAUGUGGUUUGUAGGUGAGGGAAAUUAAGAGUUAAAAUGAAUUGUUUUUUCUUAAUAUUAAUUUGUUAUUCUACUUAAACUUAACUUAGAAUAGUCAGUGCAGUGUAAAACAUUAUGAAUUGAUUUUCUAAAACUAUACAGAUACAAGGUAAAACAUAAGAAUUCACAUGCAAACUUAACCUAAAACAUAAAUGAUUUACAGCUAAUAGUACGGAUUGCUGAUCAGUACAGUAAAACUCUCAGAAGUACGGAAUUGUUAGUACGGACGAAUUGAUUAUAGAAAAGACUAAACGUAAGUAAUUUGUAAACACUUAUUAACUUAAAAUGUAUACACUGUUAGUUAUAUUUAUGAUGUCUGCUAUGAAGUUGAUUAAUUUGAAUAUCAUUGAAUAAUUCUCCCCAAGGGAUUUUAUAACUCUCUCUGUCUCUAUUGGAAAUAAACGAGUUACAAAACCGGAAAGCUUUCUGUUCGUCCGAUUGCUAGCGCAACAUUUUAUAAAAUCCGUUUACGAUCGGGGGCUUUAGUCGGUAUGUCGAAAAGAAGUGACGGUCAAAGGCGCGGAAUUUCUCCCACGAAAAUCAGUUCGCUCUCGGAAGUGAGCUGCGAAAUAUGUCAAAAGCCAGAUAACAGUUGUAUGGUAGCAUGUGAUACGUGCGGGCAGUGGUUUCAUUUUGUGUGUGUUGGUGUGAAUUCAAGUGUUCAGGAUGAGGAUUGGAACUGUAAGAAAUGUCUUGAAACGGUAACACAACCCCCAGCCGGCACUACACCAAAUACCAGUACUGGAGCGGUACCAAAACCUGCGCCUGCGGAGCCAAAUCUGGAGAAAUUAGUACAGAACCAGUUAACAGCGAUGCAGGCAAGAUUCGAACGAAUGAUGAAGGAAAGGUAUGAGCAACGUAUGAAGGAACUCAGAGAUCAACGGAAGAAAUACGAUCAGGAGUUGAAAGAUACAGAGCGACGUGUACUAGAGCAAGUUGAAAAGCAACAUCGGAUGAUGAACUCAGGUGGUGGCAAGCAGACAACGACUUCGGCUGAUCAGCCCGCACUAAUGAUGCAUGGAGGCGGAUCGAAAGCGGACUCGGCUGGUUGUCAAAACAUACACCCACUGGGAAGUGAGUCAACUGGAGCUUAUGCUGGGAAUCAACCAACGCAAUGGGCGCUCGGGCCGACUGCUAGCUCAACGUUAAAUCCUCUACCACAAAUCAACGUUUACGAGACCAGCCAGAAUGACGAAGUUCUAGCACAGCAGUUAAUACUGUUGGAAGAGAAACAGGCAUUAGAUAAAAAACAUCUGGAAGAGCGAAUCCAGCUUCUACAACGGCAUGCGAUGGUCGACGGAGGGGCAGCUGGUGGCACUGGGCUGAACCCUCAGGCGACAGCCUUUCAAUCGAAUAGUUGUGGUUUCGGCGGAGUGUCUUCGCUAAGUCAUAGUCAAAUUUCGGCUCGUCAAGCUGUUAACAAAGAACUUCCGUCUUUCUCUGGAAAUCCAGAAGAAUGGCCACUUUUCUUCGCAAGCUACGAGAAUUCGACCAGAAUUUGUGGGUACAGCGAUGAAGAGAAUAUGCUGCGGUUGCAACGAAGUCUCAAGGGGAAGGCUUUGGAGUCUGUUCGUUGUCGUUUGUUACAUUCUACCAAUUUAUCCGGUGUUCUAGCGACAUUGAAAACUCUCUUCGGAAGACCUGAAAUUAUUGUGCAUUCUUUAGUCAACAAGAUCCGGGAAAUGCCAUCUCCGAAGGCGGAAAAGCUUUGCUCGUUAAUUGAUUUUGGCGUUGCAGUUCAGAAUGUCUGUGCCACCAUAAUAGCUUCAGGUAUGGAUGAAUACAUGUGUAACGUGGCGUUACUCCAGGAGUUGACAGAGCGAUUACCGCCAGCCAUCAGAUUGAACUGGGCGUACCAUAGACAGGGAUUGAGUCGAGUGACACUUUCUGAAUUUGGAGAUUGGCUGGGGAAGUUGGUUGAAGCAGCUAGCAUUGUGACGAUGCCGUCGAUCAAUGCUUCGAAACCAGAGCGACGUGGAAGGAAGGAUGACAAUUUCAUCAACGUACAUUCAGAAAGCAAUUCUUGUAUGGAGACAGUAUCAAAAAGCACCCCAGCACCGAAGGGUUGUCUCGUGUGUUCUAGCGAGUGUAGCAGUGCGAACAAAUGCAAGAAAUUCUUAGCAAUGGACGUCGGAUCUCGUUGGACAGUCGUUAAAGAGCGACGGUUGUGCAGAAAGUGCCUACGAAAACAUUUCGGGGCGUGUCAGAUUAAAACUCCAUGCGGAAGGAACGGAUGUUCGUUUAUGCAUAAUGAGCUGUUGCAUGACAACAAGCGGUACAGUAAGUCUGGAAUUUCUGAAUCAAUGAAUCCAUCGGGGGUAAACCCAACUCCGCAGAGUUGCAAUACGCAUACGAAGAUAGCGGAAAAGGUUUUGUUUCGGUAUGUUCCUGUGACUAUUUACGGUAAGGGCAAACAAGUGACUACAUACGCCUUUCUCGACGACGGAUCGUCUGCGACCUUGAUUGAGCAUGAUUUGCUGAACGAGCUAGGUCUUAAAGGAGCUCCGCAUCCCUUAUGCCUCAAUUGGACGGGUGGCCAGCAACGAGCAGAGAACGAUUCUGUCUUGUUGUCUCUAAAGAUUUCUGGUGUGAACGAUUUCAGCGAUGUGUUCGAGUUACCAGGAGUGCACACUGUCCGAUACCUUUCCCUUCCUAAGCAGUCGGUCUCAGUUACGCAGUUAGCAAGGAAAUACAGUUAUCUUGAAGGAUUGCCAAUAGAGUCGUAUGAAAAUGUUUCUCCUCGAAUGCUUAUUGGAAUGAAUAAUUGUAGAUUAGGCCACGCCUUGAGAAGCAUAGAAGGUGGCGAGAAUGGACCAGUAGCAUCUAAAACUCGUCUUGGCUGGAUGGUCUACGGACCUUGCGCGAUGGAGUCUGGAGCGAUAAAUUCCGACUAUAGUGGUUGCCACAGUUUCCACAUAUGUCCGUGUGUCAAGGAAAACGACAAAGAGUUGAAUACUACUCUGAAAGAGUACUUUUCGAUCGAGUCUCUAGGAGUAUCAGGCUCACGUCAGUCACUGCCGUCGAAAGAUGAAGAACGAGCGAUGAAAAUUUUGUCCACAGAAACGCGUUACGUCGGAAACCGCUACGAGACCGGAUUGUUGUGGCGCUACGAUCGAAUACAGCUACCUGAUAGCAAGGGAAUGGCUAUGAAGCGUUUGGAAUGCUUGCAAAAGCGUAUGGCGCGAGAGCCCGAGAUGGCAGCGGCGAUGCGUGCAAAGCUAUGCGACUAUAUAGAGAAAGGCUAUAUUCGUCGACUUUCAGCAGAGGAAAAGAUAGAGAAGCAUGCCAACGACUGGUAUUUACCGAUAUUUCCAGUUAUCAACCCGAACAAACCGGGCAAGGUACGGAUUGUGUUCGACGCAGCCGCGAAAGUCAAUGGAGUGUCGCUGAACUCAUUCCUUCUAACGGGACCUGAUCAGUUGACAUCACUGCUUGCCGUUCUGUACAAGUUUCGUGAGUACCGUGUUGCUGUUGUAGGAGACAUUCGUGAAAUGUUCUUCCAAGUUCAGAUGAAGAAACAAGACCAACGUAGUCAAAUGAUUCUGUGGAACGACGGGAAUUCGGAAGUUGAUCCUGAAGUCUACGUGGUAGCAGUUAUGACGUUUGGUGCGGCGUGUUCUCCUAGUUGCGCACAUUACGUUAAAAACCAAAACGCUGAUAGAUUCGAGAAACAAUAUCCCCGUGCGGUCGAGUGCAUAAAGUAUGAGCAUUAUGUUGACGACAUGUUGGCGAGUGUUGAAACCGAGGAAGAAGCUGUAAAACUAGCUAGAGAAGUUCAAUCUAUUCAUAUUCAAGGAGGCUUCGAGAUACGCAAUUGGCUAUCAAACUCCCGUUCUGUAGUAGAGCGAAUGCUUGAACAUACCAACACGGAAAAGGAUAUGAAUUUCACCGCAGAAAUGGUAACGGAAAAGGUGCUUGGGAUGUGGUGGGACACCACGAGUGACACGUUCACCUUUAAGCUCUCUCCAAAGCACGAUGUGCAACUGAUUUCCGGAGCUAGAAUGCCUACAAAGCGAGAAGUUCUGAGAACGUUGAUGGCGAUAUACGAUCCUAUGGGAUUGAUUGGCAACUUCCUCAUCUAUCUGAAAAUCUUGCUGCAAGAAAUUUGGCGAUCUGGUUGUAGUUGGGACGAUGAGAUCGAUGGAAGGUUGGCAGAAAGAUGGAAAACAUGGAUCAGAGCGCUUCCGAACGUCGUGCAAAUCAGAAUUCCUCGCUGCUACCGAGUCGUGACGUCUGCAGGACCGAGUAAUAAUGUUGAGUUGCACAUCUUCUGCGAUGCCAGUGAGAAUGGGAUGGCUGCUGUUGCUUACUUUAGAUUCGAGGAGAAUGGAACAGUUGAGUCUUCACUGAUCGGAUCAAAAACCCGUGUAGCCCCGUUGAAAUAUUUGUCGAUACCACGUCUGGAGCUGCAGGCUGCAGUAAUAGGGGCACGUCUUGCCGAAUGCAUUGUUACAUCACAUAGAUUGAAAGUUGUUCGUCGCACCUUCUGGACCGACUCUCGUGACGUGAUCUGCUGGUUGCGAUCUGAUCACCGGCGUUACAGUCAAUUCGUGGCAUUCCGAAUCAGCGAGCUAUUGGAUACAACGGAGGUAAAUGAGUGGAGAUGGUUGCCGACCAAAGCGAAUGUAGCAGACGAGGGUACGAAGUGGCAAAAAUCACCGAGUUUUGUGCCGAGCAGUCGAUGGUUUCGUGGACCGGAAUUUCUAAGGGAGCCCGAGAGCGGGUGGCCAGGUGAUAGCCGAGAUAAAGGUACAACUCUAGAAGAACUCCGUUCCUGCGUUCUUCAUAAUACAACUACCGAUUCACUGGUAAAUUUCGAACGUUUUUCGAAAUGGUCGCGACUGCAGAGAUCAGUUGGAUAUGUCCACCGUUUCAUUGCGAAUCUUCGCAAGCGUGCUAAGAAAGACUUUAUCAGGACUGGUCCACUAACGCAAGAAGAGCUGAUAUUGGCAGAGAACACUAUCUAUCGGUUGGCUCAAAUGCAAGCGUAUUCCGCAGAAAUACAGUUAUUGGGAAAGGGCAGCAGUUCGGAGGAGCCACCAUGGAAACACACAUUGCCGAAAACCAGUACGUUGUAUAAGUUGAGUCCAUUUAUCGACGAGUAUGGAGUCCUUCGAAUGAGAGGUCGUAUCGAUGCCUGCGAGUGGGCAGACGAAAGUACAAAAAACCCGAUUUUACUUCCAAGGCAGAACGUCGCAACUCGUUUGGUGAUUGCAGACUACCAUGCUAAGUUCCGCCAUCAGAAUCACCGCUCAGUGCUUAAUGAGCUGCGACUCAAGUUUAACAUCCCUCGUCUACGUUCAGAACUAGAUCGUGUACGCAGAAAUUGCCAGCGCUGCAAGAUACGAGAUUCAAGGCCACGGCCUCCUGCGAUGGGAAACUUGCCACCCGCCCGUCUUGCUGCUUUCCAGCGACCGUUUUCAUACACUGGAAUCGAUUACUUCGGGCCGAUGACGGUACUAGUCGGCAGACGAGUCGAGAAAAGGUGGGGUGUUCUUCUUACCUGCAUGACAACCAGAAGUGUACACAUUGAAAUUGCACACUCUCUGACCACAGAUUCGUGCAUUCUUGUGCUUCGCAAUUUCAUUGCAAGAAGGGGUUUGCCAUUGGAAAUCAUCAGCGAUCGAGGAACAAAUUUCGUCGGAGCUUCCCGUGAAUUGCGCGAAGCACUGGAUCAUGUCGACGAGGAGAAGCUUAUGGUUGAAUUCGUUAGCUCCAACACAAAAUGGACGUUCAAUCCGCCAGCUGCUCCACACUUUGGUGGUUGUUGGGAGCGUCUGAUCCAGUCGAUCAAGAAAAUCAUGAACGACUUCAACCCGCCACGUCUACCAUCUGAUGAAAUUUUGCGUUCUAUGUUAAUGGAGAUCGAAAUGAUAUUGAAUUCAAGACCGCUCACUGACAUACCGCUAGAAAACGAUUCUGAAGCCCCCCUUACGCCGAAUCACUUUCUGUUGGGUUCAUCUAAUGGGAGUAAGCCCCCGAUCAAGUUCGAUGAUAAGCCUACUGUACUGAAGCAAUCGUGGACGAUGUCGCAGCUGUAUGCCGACUACUUUUGGAAGAAGUGGGUGAAUGAAUACUUGCCUACCUUGACGCGCAGAACGAAAUGGUUCCAACCAGUGAAACCAAUCCAGGAAGGCGAUCUAGUAUUGGUUGCGGAUGGUAAUCUUCCAAGGAACUGUUGGCCUCGAGGACGGGUAAUUGAGGCCACUCAAGGCAAAGACAGACAAGUUCGUCGUGUUACUGUGCUGACGGCAAGCGGACUUCUGCAGAGACCAGCGACCAAGGUUGCAGUAUUGGACAUCGGUGCUAACGGUGGUAAGUCACUUGUUCGACAGUGACGUACCGAGGGGGAGUGUCACAACCCGGUGGGUUAUGGCGCACCUUAUUUCAACCGUCUUGAUUCGUGCGAAACCUAAUUUCAACCCUGUUCCCCAAUGAACUGUCAUCUGUCGUUAGUGGAAGGAGAAUAGCGUGAGUAAGCAGUGAGUACACAUGUGGUUUGUAGGUGAGGGAAAUUAAGAGUUAAAAUGAAUUGUUUUUUCUUAAUAUUAAUUUGUUAUUCUACUUAAACUUAACUUAGAAUAGUCAGUGCAGUGUAAAACAUUAUGAAUUGAUUUUCUAAAACUAUACAGAUACAAGCUAAUAGUACGGAUUGCUGAUCAGUACAGUAAAACUCUCAGAAGUACGGAAUUGUUAGUACGGACGAAUUGAUUAUAGAAAAGACUAAACGUAAGUAAUUUGUAAACACUUAUUAACUUAAAAUGUAUACACUGUUAGUUAUAUUUAUGAUGUCUGCUAUGAAGUUGAUUAAUUUGAAUAUCAUUGAAUAAUUCUCCCCAAGGGAUUUUAUAACUCUCUCUGUCUCUAUUGGAAAUAAACGAGUUACAAAACCGGAAAGCUUUCUGUUCGUCCGAUUGCUAGCG